UCAUUUCUGUUCUAUCCUGUCAACCCUAAUAUCCUAACAUUCCUAGGGUUCAACAGGGGCUUUCUAACACUUUUCCUCUGUCAUUUCACCUUAAAUUCGACUUUAAAUAUUUUCAUAACAUAAAUAUAUAAAUGCUGGAAGUUGACAAUAAUAAUGUAAAAUAAAAGAAUAUUGCAUUUAUUUACUGUAACUUACCUUGAUACAAAAUGUGACUAAACUUUACAAUUUAGUCCUUUACUUUUCCUUUUCCCUGAUCUACUCCCGAAUUUCGUUCUUCUUGAUCUAUAAUAGAAAAUUUAACUUAUUUAAUAUUCAUAUUUAUUAAAACAGUCCUUGACCCAAACUUUGGCAAAAUUAUAUUUUUACCCCUAAACUUUCACAUAUUUGCACUUUUGCCUCAAGGCUCGUAAAUUAAACUUCAUCCUAUUUUCUUAUGUUUUAUGACAUGCUGAUCAUUUUUCCCUUUUAUGGCAAUAUCAAAAUCACACUCUAACAUAUACUUAUGACUAUUGGUAUUUUUUUCCAAUUUAAGCCAUUUUACUCGUUUUCACUUAAAACCGAGUAGCAUAAGUUGUUUAACAUAAUUUAAAACCUCAUAUUCUAUCAUAAAACACCAAAAUACACAAAUUUCAGCCAUGGGUAUUUUUCCAAAUAUGAACCCUAGGUUGAAUUAUUGCUAGAAUAAGCUUAAUCAAGUUAUCGGGACUCCAAAAACGUAAAGAUCAUUAAAAACGGGGCUUGGAAUCACUUACUAUGAAGCUUGAAAGUUGAAGAAACCCCAGCUAUGGAGGAGAGCAAAAAUCGGUAGAAACUAAUUGAGAAGAUGACCAUUUUUGUGUUAUUUUUCCCUUUUUUAAUUCAUUUAAUAUCUAAAUGACCAAAUUACCCCUCCUUACUAAACUUUCAAAAAUUCAUUCCAUGUCCUAAUUUUUGUCCAUGAACUUAAAAUUGGUCAAAUUGUUAUUUAAACCCUCCUAAUUAAUAUUCCAAAGUAAUUUCAUACUAAAAACUUCUAGAAUGCAAGUUUUGCAAAUUAUUCGAUUUAGUCCCUACCCUCAACUUAAGCACUUUAUGCAUAGAAUUUCAUCACGAAAUUUUCACACAAUCAUGCAAUCAUACCAUGAACCUCAAAAUAAUAAUAAAAUAAAUUUUUCUACCUCGAAUUUGUGGUUUUGCAACCACUAUUCUGUUUAGGCCCUAUUUCGGAAUGUUACAUUUCUCCCCCAUUUUAGGGAUUUUCGUCCCGAAAAUCUUACCUGUGAAGAGAUUUGGGUACUGUUUUCGCAUAGCCUCUUCGGGUUCCCAUGUAGCCUCAUCUACCCCGUGUUUAUUCCAUAGUACUUUCACAAGUGCAAUACUUUUGUUCCUUAAUUGCUUUACCUCUCGAGCUAGAAUCUUUACCGGUUCUUCACCGUAAGUCAUGUCUAGCUGAAUCUCAACCUCUGUCUGAGAAAUCACAUGUGACGGAUCUGAACGAUAACGACGUAGCAUAGACACAUGAAAUACAUUAUGAAUCUUCUCUAACUCAAUCGGCAAAGCUAACCGAUAUGCUAAUGGUCCGACUCUCUCAAUUACUUCAAACGGUCCAAUAAAACGUGGACUUAGUUUGCCUUUUUAAAUCUGCAUACGACUUCUGCCUGUCUGAAGCUGCUUUUAAACAAUUUCUGAUAGCUUUCACUUUUUCUUCUGUUUCUUUAACUAGAUCAACCCCGUAAAUCUGGCUUUCUUUAAGCUCUGUCCAAUAUAAAGGUGUACGGCAUUUACGUCCAUAUAAAGCUUCAUAAGGUGUCAUCUUCAAACUUUACUGGUAACUAUUAUUAUAGGCAAACUCUACCAAUGGUAAGUAUUUUUCCCAACUACCUUGAAAUUCUAAUACACAACAUCUAAGCAUAUCUUCAAGUACCUGAAUAACUCUCUUUGACUGACCGUCGGUUUGAGGAUGGAAAGUUGUACUAAAACUCAACUUUGUGCCCAAAGCCUCUUGUAAUUUCUUCCAAAACCGUGAAGUAAAUCUUGGAUCUUUGUUUGAAAUGAUCGAUAAUGGUACCCCAUGUAGCCUGACUAUCUCUGAAAUAUACAACUCGGCCAACUUUUCAAGUGAAUAAUUCAUACGAACUGGGAUAAAAUGAGCCGACUUCGUUAACUUAUCAAUCACAACCCAUACUGCAUCUUUCUUUCUCGGUGUAAACGGCAAUCCUGUCACAAAAUCCAUAGUAACUCGAUCCCACUUCCAUUCCGGAACUAGCACAAGCUGCAAUAAUCCUGAGGGUACCUGAUGUUCGACCUUUACCUGUUGACAAAUCAAGCAUCUAGAAACAAACUCUGAAAUAUCUCUUUUCAUUCCUAUCCACCAAUACAAUUUCUUCAAAUCAUUAUACAUUUUUUGUACUGCCUGGAUGAAUAGAUAAAGGACUGCUAUGUGCUUCCUGUAAAAUCUUCCGAAUAAGCUCAUCAUUCUUUGGUACACAUAUUCUGUCUCUAAACAUCAAACAACCAUCAGAACCAAUCCAAAAAUCUGAUUCUAUGCCUGACUCACAUUGAACUCUUUUAGCUUGUAACUCAUUAUCAUCUUUCUGAGCUUCACAAAUCUCUUCAAGAAGUACCGGUUUAGCUCUCAAUUUAGCUAAAAUAGAACCAUCAUCUGACAUGGCUAAAUUUGUAUUCAAAGCUCGCAAUGUAAAUAAAAGUUUCCUACUUAAAGCGUCAGCAACUACAUUUGCUUUACCUGGGUGAUAAUCAAUCACUAACUCAUAAUCUUUAAGCAAUUCCAACCAUCUUCUUUGCCUCAAAUUCAAAUAUUUUUGAGUCAUCAAGUAUUUCAAGCUUUUAUGAUCGGUAAAUAUCCGGCACCUUUCACCAUACAAAUAAUCUCUCCAAAUCUUCAAUGCAAAUACAAUAGCAGCUAGCUCUAAAUCAUGUGUCGGAUAAUUUUUCUCAUGUGGCUUCAAUUGUCUAGAGGCAUAAGCAAUUACCUUUCCUUCCUGCAUGAGUACACAACCGAGCCCAUUCAAGGAUGCAUCACUGUAAAUCACAAAUUCUUUACCCGAUUCCGGCUGUACUAAGAUAGGAGCUUCCAUCAACAAUGCCUUUAACUUGUCAAAACUUUGUUGGCACUUCUCAGUCCAUUCAAACUUAACAUCCUUCCGUAGCAGUCUUGUCAACGGGGUAGCUAUCAUGGAAAAUCCCUCCACAAAUCGUCUAUAAUAUCCUGUAAGACCAAGAAAACUUCUAACUUCUGAUACAUUUCUAGGAGGCUUCCAAUCAACAAUGGCUGAAAUCUUGCUCGUAUCAACCUUAAUACCUUCACCUGAGACAAUAUGUCCAAGAAAACCAACUUCUCGUAACCAGAACUCACUUUUGCUGAACUUGGCAUACAACUGAUUAUCUCUCAGAAUUUGUAAAACUAUUCUCUAAUGCUCUGCAUGCUCAGUCUCAUCAUGAGAAUAAAUCAAAAUAUCAUCAAUGAACACAACUACAAACUUAUCUAAGUACGAUCUAAAAAUUCGGUUCAUUAAGUCCAUGAAAAUGGCAGGAGCAUUAGUCAAGCCAAAUGGCAUCACAAGGAACUCAUAAUGACCAUACCUAGUUCGGAAAGCAGCCUUCAGGACAUCUGACUCUUUAACUCGCAACUGAUAGUAUCCGGAUCUCAAAUUUAUCUUGGAAAACACAGUAGCUCCCUUCAAUUGAUCAAACAAAUCAUCAAUUCUAGGCAAUGGAUACUUGUUCUUUACUGUUACCUUGUUAAGUUGUCGAUAAUCUAUGCACAAUCUCAUCGAUCCGUCUUUCUUUUUCACAAAUAGCACUAGUGCACCCCAUAGUGAACUACUGGGUCUUACCAAGCCUUUAUCUGUUAAUUCCUGCAACUGAGCUUUCAAUUCUUUCAAUUCCAACGGAGCCAUUCUAUAAGGAGCAAUAGAAAUGGGUGUGGUACCUGGAAUCAACUCAAUACCAAACUCAACUUCUCUAACAGGAGGCAAACCUGGUAGUUCUUCCGGAAACACAUCGGGAAACUCACAUACCACAGGCACUGAUUCAAUUUUCAAUUCUGGAUCUUUAGUGUUCAACACAAAAGCAAGAUAAGCUUCAUACCCUUUUCUCAAACAUUUCUGAGCAGACAUAAUAGAAAUUAUGGGAAAUAAACUAUCUGACUCUUCUGAAUUAACCCGAAGAAUUUCAUCAUUUUCACACUUCAACUCAAUGAAUUUCUUUCCACAAUUCACUAUCACAUCAUGUGUAGUCAACCAAUCCAUACCAAGAAUCACAUCAUACUCAUCAAAUGGCAAUAGUAUGAGAUCAGCCGGAAAACAGUAGCCUCUAAUCAUUAAAGGAUAAUUUCUACAUACUUUAUCUACUAAUACAUGCUUGCCUAAUGGAUUCGAUACUUUAAUCACAAAUUCUGUAGAUUCUAUAGGCAUACUUAUACUAGGCAUCAAUUUCAUACAAACAUAAGAAUGAGUCGAACCCGGAUCAAUCAGAGCAAUGACAUUAAUAUCAUGUAGAGAAAAUGUACCCGUAAUCACAUCGGGGGAGGAUGCCUCUUUGCGUGCACGAAUAGCAUAAGUCUUUGCAGGGGCUUUAACAUCUGGUCUCACAGCCGAAUCUCUAGAGGUACCUCUGUUACUUGCUCCUACUCCCGGUUGCCUCGGUGAUCUGCCUCUAGUAGGAGCAUUUCUGGAUCUAGCACUCUGUGUUACCUCUCGGCUAGCCACUUCUAGACAUUCUCGUACAAAAUGAUCUGGAGCACCACAUUUAUACCAAACAUUUUCGCCUGCCCGACAAGGACCAUAAUGAAGUCUACCACACCGUGGAUACCCUGAUCUGCCCUAUCUGACAUUACCUACACUCGUAGUGAAGGUGGUCUGAGCCUUUGGAUCCUUAAAUCUGCUACCUCUAUUCUGACUAGAUUGCCCUGCCGAAAAGCUAGAUCUGGUAGAAAACUCUUUGGGCCUCUUAGAUGUAGCCUGAAAUGAUCUGCUCAUCUGUCUCUUCUUUGUAUCUUGUGUCUCUGUCUCAACUUUGCCUUUUCUUUUUAACAGCUCCUCUCCCUUACAGGCUCUCUUAACUAAAUAACGAACUCUUUUAUUUCUAGGACACCCAUUGACAGUCGGAUAUCAUCAUUUAACCCAUCCUCAAACCUUUUACACAUGAUAGCCUCUGUAGACACACAUUCUCGAGCAUAUUUACUAAGCCUGACAAAUUCACGCUCAUAAUCGCUCACUUUCAUAUUACCUUGUUUCAAUUCCAGGAAUUCCUUUCUCUUCUGGUCAAUAAACCUCUGACUGAUGUACUUUUUACGAAAUUCCUCCUAAAAGAAAUCCCAAGUGACCCUCUCAUUUGGUACAACUGAUACAAGUGUCUUCCACAAGUAGUAGGCUGAGUCUCUAAGAAGUGAUACUACACAUUUCAUACAUUCCUCGGGUGUACACGAUAAUUCGUCAAAGACUCUGCUAGUAUUUUCUAACCAAAAUUCUGCUUUUUCUACAUCAUCAUCUUUUGUUGCUCGGAACUCUUCUGCCCCUUGUUUCCUGAUUCUAUCAACUGGUGGCUUUUCUCUUACCACUGUACCUGUGACUGGGGAAGCUUGAGCUACAUGGGUAGCCUGAGAAUCAUGAGGGGGUGGAGGUCUAACUUCCGGAUUCGUACGAACGAACUUGGCAAACAAAUCAUUCAAAGCUCGGAAGAGAGCUUCUCGAGUCACUCCUCCCUGAUCAACUAUUACUGGCCUAUUCUCAGAUGGCGCUGCCCUUUCUGCGGGAGCAGGCGCAUUACUUUCUACAUCAUCAUCACCAGCUCGUCCGGGAUCCAUUACUAUAAAACAAAAUAUUUAAAAAUCGUCAAGAGUCGUCACACUAUCAAAAUACAAGUAUGGCAUGUAUAGCUAGAUUUUUUCUCACACGAACUGUUCCGAGAACCGACUAAACCUGUUCUGAUACCAAUAAAUGCAACACCCCCAUGCCCGAAACCGUCACCGAAGUCAAGCUUGAGGUGUUACUAAACUUAUCUUACCUUUUAAACAACUCUAAACCACUUAUUUUAAUUUUCGGAAUAAACUAUUUUUCUGCGUCAUGGUUGCUUAAAAAUUCAUUUCUCGAGUUUCAAAACUCAAAAUUAAGAUCCAUAAAUUUUUCCUGAAAUUAGACUCAUAUAUCUAUCUAUUAAUUUUUUUCUAGAAUUUUUUACUUGGCCAAUUAGUAUAGUUUAUUAGUUAAAGUUUCCCCUAUUUCAAAACUCGACUGCACUGACCUAUUCUUACUAUGAACCAUGUUUCUUCCUGUACAAAAUUCAUAUGACUAAGCCGUUUGUUUCUUUUAAAGCUAGAUUCAACAAGGAUUCUAACCAUAUAAAUUAAACCUUAUAAUUAGUGUUUUACAAUUUAUGGUGAAUUUCCAAAGCUGAAAUAGGGGAUCCAGAAAUCGCUCUGACCCUAUUUCACUAAAACUUAGAUAUAUCAUAAAAUAUAAUACCUUUACUUUUUUUGCUUAUUCCAUAAGAAAAUAUACAUAAUAAGCUUUAAUUUCAUAUAUUAUUCAUCUUCAAACUAUGUUUCUACAAUUUUUAGUGAUUUUUCAAAGUUACGUCAUUUUUGUUACUUGAAUCUAUUUUUAGGUUACUUUCACAUUUUUCAUAAUUUUCAUGUGAUAAUCACCAUUCAAUCAUACAUAUUAAUAAACAUGUAUAUCAUCGACUAGUUUAUUAGCUAAUCACUAGCAAGUAUUUACACAUCAUUCAUUAUUCAUAUUAUACCAAAAGUAGCUAAGUCUCUAUACAUGCCAUACCCAAAACAAAACGUCUAAUUAUACCGAGUUAUUUCUUUGAUAGUGUGAUCGGCCUCCGACGUUUCCUUCGAUCCCCGAGUGACUAGAUAAGUACUAUAAGAAGAAGAAAAUAAAGAGAUUAAGCACUAGGCUUAGUAAGCUUACAAGCAAAUAAAUCACAACAUUCAACAUAAUGGAUAAUUAUGCAUAAUAUCAUCUAACAUCAUAAAUUUCUUUACUUCUCAAUUUCUAUCUUCUUCUUUAUUCCCUUACCUUCUUUCUUACCUGACCUUUCCUUUUUCAUAAGUAUAAUCUACUUUUCCUUUGCUGUUAAUUCACUGUAAUUUAACUCGUAUCCUGACCCGUUGAACCACUCAGAAUACUAAGGAUACUAGGGUCGUUCCUGUCUAUCAAUAUCCUGCCAAUGCCAUGUCUUUGACAUGGACUUACAUGAAUUAUUCCUGUCUCCAAUGCCAUAUAUAAUAUGGACUUACAUGGCUCAAUCCUGUCUCCAAAGCCAUAUUUCUAAUAUGGACUUACAUGGCUCAUUUCUGUUCUAUCCUGUCAACCCUAAUAUCCUAACAUUCCUAGGGUUCAACCGGGGCUUUCUAACACUUUUCCUCUGUCAUUUCACCUUAAAUUCGACUUUAAAUAUUUUCAUAACAUAAAAUAUAAAUGCUGGAAGUUGACAAUAAUAAUGUAAAAUAAAAGAAUAUUGCAUUUAUUUACUGUAACUUACCUUGAUACAAAAUGUGACUAAACUUUACAAUUUAGUCCUUUACUUUUUCUUUUCCCCGAUCUACUCCCGAAUUUCGUUCUUCUUGAUCUAUAAUAGUAAAUUUAACUUAUUUAAUAUUCACAUUUAUUAAAACAGUCCUUGACCCAAACUUUGGCAAAAUUAUAUUUUUACCCCUAAACUUUCACAUAUUUGCACUUUUGCCCCAAGGCUCGUAAAUUAAACUUCAUCCUAUUUUCUUAUGUUUUAUGACAUGCUGAUCAUUUUUCCCUUUUAUGGCAAUAUCAAAAUCACACUCUAACAUAUACUUAUGACUAUUGGUAUUUUUUUCCAAUUUAAGCCAUUUUACUCGUUUUCACUUAAAACCGAGUAGCAUAAGUUGUUUAACAUAAUUUAAAACCUCAUAUUCUAUCAUAAAACACCAAAAUACACAAAUUUCAGCCAUGGGUAUUUUUCCAAAUAUGAACCCUAGGUUGAAUUAUUGCUAGAAUAAGCUUAAUCAAGUUACCGGGACUCCAAAAACGUAAAGAUCAUUAAAAACGGGGCUUGGAAUCACUUACUAUGAAGCUUGAAAGUUGAAGAAACCCCAGCUAUGGAGGAGAGCAAAAAUCGGC
rnacentral:lncRNA from 1 species